UACGGAGGGUGCAAGCGUUGUCCGGAAUCACUGGGCGUAAAGGGCGCGUAGGCGGCUCAUGAAGGCUGUGGUGAAAGUCCGGGGCUCAACCUCGGAUCGGCCGUGGCGACUCGUGGGCUGGAGCACUGUAGAGGCGGGUGGAAUUCCGGGUGUAGCGGUGGAAUGCGUAGAGAUCCGGAAGAACACCCGUGGCGAAGGCGGCUCUCUGGGACGGUACUGACGCUGAGACGCGAAAGCGUGGGGAGCGAACAGG
rnacentral:rRNA from 1 species